CAAGACGAUAACCACAAGUGGUUCUGUUCUGUUUAACGAAAAAUGAAGAGUUUUAUAAAAAAUGGAUAAUUCACCGCGAAUUGUUUAUGUGUGCAGCCUGUGCCUGCGCCAAUAUGAUCUCCAGGAGGAUCUCCGGGGACAUUUGGUGUACUUCCAUGGCUACGAGCCCAUUUCGGUGCCCAACGGCAAACGAAAAGCAGCAAAGACUUCCAUCAAACAACAAACUCCAGCCGGCAGGAAUGGCCAGGAUAAACAAACCAUGGAUCAGGAAUUGGAGGACUCCAAGCCAACGCCAAGUGAGAUGCAGCCCAUGCCCUUUAAGGAUUUUCGACUGGUCUUGAGGGCCAAUAUGCUAGAACCGUGCUCCUUCGGCAGAGAGUGUUCCUUCAAGUUCCAGGAUGCUGGCAAGAUGGAGCUGCACUCAAGUUGCCACAAGGGCGGCAAUUUCUCCUGCUGCGAAUGCGGUAUAGAGCUGCCCAACUGGCGGCGAUGCUCGGCUCAUCUGUGGAAAGCCCACCAGGUGGACGUGGAUCUACUGGAGUGUCCCGCCGUCGAUUGCCAGUACAAGUCACCAACUUCCGCCCUGGUGUGGCGACACAUGCAGGUCCACAAAAAGUGGCGACCGCGGGUACUGCGCUCGUUGGCCGCCGUUCAGCGGAGGAGAAAACUCAAGGAGCAGGCCGGGGAGAUUGCCCCACAACCAGCAGCUCCUCCUCCCGCCUCCAAAAAGAACAAAUACUAUGCGGAGAAGACCUGUGAGAUUUGCCAACGCAACUUCGUCAAUGGCAAAACUCUCUCCAAGCAUAUCAAAACGGUGCACAACAAAAUCAAGCCAUUUAUCUGCAAUGUGUGUGGCAAGAAGACGGCGCGCAAGGCUAGUUUGAUAAUCCACAUGCGUCAGCACACAGGCGAGAAGCCCCUGCAGUGCGGCGAGUGCAAGUUUUCCACUCGCGAUCCCAGUGUCCUGCACAAACACCGCCAGCGACACGAUAGCCAGGACAAGAGCAGUCUAAAGUGCAGCCAAUGCGAUUACUACUGCAUCCAGGCCAAUGCCCUAAAGCGUCACAUGCGCCUCAAUCAUGCCGAAGCUUAUAAAGACUUAUGCUGUGAUCUCUGUAGCUUUACUUCCAUAAAUGCCGAGCGGUUGCAAGCCCACAAGCAGGAUCAUCGGCAGGGCUUGAUCACGAACUGCGAGGACUCCAUGGAUGCCUCGCGUGCCGCUGGUUUUAAGUAUCCUCGCAAGCUUGGCGACAAGAACGGAGAGAUAUCAGCUGACUGUUUUAUGCCACUGGAGAGCGUGGAUUCAUUGCCUCAUGAACCAGCUGUCGAUACAGGUGGCGUAACCAUACCAGCUCCACCUUCCGAGGACACUCAAUUCCCCACAUACUUAAAGGAUUAAUAUUAUAGAACGUGAAAUUACUCGAUCGAUCUUUUAUUUCAUGGAUUUAUAUUUGUUGAAUGUGGGCAUGUCCAAUGCGCUGUAAAGAGUUUUGUAUAAAAUAAUGUUCUCAUGCAGUUUGUUUGGGGAUUUAAAUGCUUGUUUAUUAAGUUGUUCAGUUUUUCCAUUUAAUUUUAAUAUCAUUUUAGAAUCUGAUAUGAUUUUUUUGCAACAUUCGAAUUAUUUAGUCAUGCUGGUUUACCACGUUCCGAUUUAUUUAUCAGUUAGGUUUUUCUUUAAACUAAUUUAAAAUUUAAAAAUCUACUCUGCUGGCGGCAAUCAUCCGGUUUCAGUUCGGUUUCAAGAUCAGCGCUCUUUAAUCUAGGUUACGACAGAAAUGUUCUCAAUUUUAUUCAUUUGGGCAGUUUCGCUAAUAACUUGUUAAGUUGUUUAAUAUUUAAUUUGAUUUCAUUAGUUUAGUAGUUGAGCUUUACGUUUGGUUUAAUAUAACUAUUUACUUUACGCUUGAAUGCAAUCAGCUGCCGGAGAUCGCAGAUCAAGUGAUCUGGCGGUUCCUAAAAAUUAUGCACCUCCUGUUCGCUAUAGUAUUGGAAAUAAGUUACCACCGUGUUACAAAAGAAUAGAUUUUAACGUUUAUUGUCUGAGUUUGAUUCGAAUAUCAAAACAUGUUCACUAUUUGAGAGUGCAACUGAGUAGUAGUACAUGAUAAUGGAAAAUAAAACGCUCAAUGUAAAAUUGUUAAUAUCA